rnacentral:rRNA from 1 species
UGGGGAAUUUUGGACAAUGGGCGCAAGCCUGAUCCAGCCAUGCCGCGUGCGGGAAGAAGGCCUUCGGGUUGUAAACCGCUUUUGUCAGGGAAGAAAUCUUCUGAGUUAAUACCUCGGGAGGAUGACGGUACCUGAAGAAUAAGCACCGGCUAACUACGUGCCAGCAGCCGCGGUAAUACGUAGGGUGCAAGCGUUAAUCGGAAUUACUGGGCGUAAAGCGUGCGCAGGCGGUUUUGUAAGACAGAGGUGAAAUCCCCGGGCUCAACCUGGGAACUGCCUUUGUGACUGCAAGGCUUGAGUGCGGCAGAGGGGGAUGGAAUUCCGCGUGUAGCAGUGAAAUGCGUAGAUAUGCGGAGGAACACCGAUGGCGAAGGCAAUCCCCUGGGCCUGCACUGACGCUCAUGCACGAAAGCGUGGGGAGCAAACGGGAUUAGAUACCCUGGGUAGUCCACGCCCUAAACGAUGUCAACUGGUUGUUGGGAAGGUUCCUCCUCAGU